rnacentral:tRNA from 1 species
GCCUGGUUAGCUCAGUCGGUAGAGCAUCAGACUUUUAAUCUGAGGGUCAAGGGUUCGAGUCCCUUAUCGGGCG